rnacentral:rRNA from 1 species
CUGCCCAAUGAUAUAAUUUUAAUGGCUGCAGUAAUUUAACUGUACAAAGGUAGCAUAAUCAUUAGUUUUUUAAUUGAGAACUAGAAUGAAAGGUUUUAUGAAAUAUUAAUUUUAUUAUAUUAAUAAUUAUAAUUUUAUUUUUUAGUUAAAAAGCUAAAAUUAGAUUAAAAGACGAGAAGACCCUAUAGAUUUUAAUAAUUAUAAUAAUAUUUAUAUUUUUAGAAUUAUAAAUUAAUUAUUAUUAUUAUAUUUUAUUGGGGUGAUAGUAUAAUUUAAUUAACUUAUAUAUUUUAAUUUAAUAUUUAUUUAUAGAUUUUUGUUCCAUUAAUAGUGAUUAGUAAAUUAAAUUACCUUAGGGAUAACAGCAUAAUUUAUUUGGAAAGUUCAAAUUAAUAAAUAAGAUUAUGACCUCGAUGUUGGAUUAAGAUAAAUUUUAGGAGUAUAAAUUUAAUAAUUAAGUCUGUCGACUUUAAAUCUACAUGAUCUGAGUUCAAAC